rnacentral:rRNA from 1 species
GGGGAAUUUUCCGCAAUGGGCGAAAGCCCGACGGAGCAAGACCGCGUGGGGGAAGAAGGCUCUUGGGUUGUCAACCCCUUUUCUCAGGGAAGAAGUUCUGACGGUACCUGAGGAAUAAGCAUCGGCUAACUCCGUGCCAGCAGCCGCGGUAAGACGGAGGAUGCAAGCGUUAUCCGGAAUUAUUGGGCGUAAAGCGUCCGUAGGUGGCUUUUCAAGUCGGCGGUCAAAGACCGGGGCUUAACUCCGGAAAGGCCGUGGAAACUGAAAGGCUAGAGAAAGGUAGGGGUAGGGGGAAUUCCCGGUGUAGCGGUGAAAUGCGUAGAGAUCGGGAAGAACACCGGUGGCGAAAGCGCCAACUGGACCUCAUCUGACACUGAGGGACGAAAGCUAGGGGAGCGAAAGGGAUUAGAUACCCCAGUAGUC